CCUACGGGCGGCAGCAGUGAGGAAUAUUGGUCAAUGGGCGCGAGCCUGAACCAGCCAAGUAGCGUGAAGGAUGACUGCCCUACGGGUUGUAAACUUCUUUUAUAAAGGAAUAAAGUGAGGCACGUGUGCCUUUUUGUAUGUACUUUAUGAAUAAGGAUCGGCUAACUCCGUGCCAGCAGCCGCGGUAAUACGGAGGAUCCGAGCGUUAUCCGGAUUUAUUGGGUUUAAAGGGAGCGUAGAUGGGUUGUUAAGUCAGCUGUGAAAGUGUGUGGCUCAACCAUAAAAUUGCAGUUGAAACUGGCAGCCUUGAGUGCGGUUGAGGUAGGCGGAAUGCGUGGUGUAGCGGUGAAAUGCAUAGAUAUCACGCAGAACUCCGAUUGCGAAGGCAGCUUACUAAACCGCAACUGACAUUGAGGCACGAAAGUGUGGGUAUCAAACAGGAUUAGAUACCCGAGUAGUC
rnacentral:rRNA from 1 species